AGGGACCUUCACACCACGUAACCCUCAAAGGCUCCUGCCCCAACCCAGGCUCUUCACUGGUCACACCCUGAACUCCUCCAGGAAGGCUUCUGGCCCCAAGGGCCAGCCCAAACCCGUAAGGCAUGUAGGCUAAAGUCUAGCUGGCACCUUGGGUGACUUGAGGACCCUUGGUGAGGACGGGUCGUCAGAAGCACUGUGGGGAAGCCUGGAUGCCCUUGAAGUCAACUGAGGCCACUGUGGACUGGCAGGCACGGGGUGUAUUUAUUGGAGGACAUGAGGGACAGGAUGGGUGCUGUUGGAGUUGACUGAGGACGUUUGGAGAUAGGCUGGCGACCGUUGGGGACAAAGGGGUGUGGCUGGGAACUAGUGGCUAUUGGGGGAUACGCUGCGGGCGAUCAGAAACUGACCGGUGAACCUUGGGGACAGUCUGGUAGCUGUUGGGGUUGGGGGAGGCUUGGCAGGUGACCGUUGGGAACAGGUUAGGAACUCUUAGGACCAAUCUGGAGACAUUGGGAGCUGGCUGGGUUGGGGCCACUAGGAAUGCAUGAGACCCUGAGGGAAGCUAAGGGUGAGUUUUGGGUGGAAAAUCAAGGACAACGGAGGCCAGAAAGUGGGAGCCAAGGAGCAGACACAGUGGAGACACAUACCCACCAGAAAGUCCUGCCUUCACCCAACCUGGAGCCUCGUAGGGUGAAGACCAUUCCAACUUCCCACCUAACGGUGGAGCCAGAGCCGAUGGGCGAGAGCAUCCGGGGCACGAAGCACCAGGUCUGGGAUUCAGCAAAGCCCGACCAGCAUGGGGCUCAGUUAGUCUCCAAGUCCCGGAACUCGCCUGCGCAGAUCCAGGAGGCCCCUGCAAGUGGGCUGCUGCAUCCACAGAAGCAGGAGGCCUUGGGUUGGACUCAGUAUCCCGUCAUACUGUGGAUGUUUCCAGACCUGUAUGAACACAGGCUACAGUAUUAGAAGUUUCUGACAGGCCAAAUACCUCUGACUGCUGAUGUGCUCUGUGAACGACAUUCCAGGCACUGCUCCAGGUCCUGGACUAAGACCACCGUGAGAGCCUGGAGGACGGCAGGCCUGAGGACCACCCUUCUCUCUGACCCCCACACCCCAGGGCCUAUACCUGAAAUGUUGCUGCAAAAUUAAGUCGAUGGGAAGAGGCCCUCCCACAUCUGAGUUCAGGAAUUAAUGAGAUAGAUGGUCAACUUUACAAGAAUUUUGCCGGCAGUGCAGCUCCUGGCAUGUUUUCUACAGAGAAAACGCUCAGAAUUCAUGCCCUAAAGAACAAUCCAGUCCCCCAACCCCAGCACCUUUGCCCAUCUUCAGAAAGUGAAUCCUAGAGGACAAGAGGUCUCCCCCACCUCUUCUCCCAGCACAGGCCAAAGGUGGAACAAAAAGCUUUGUUCUAGAUCUACCAGUUCCAUGUCUAUGACCAAUGCACAAAAACCAAACAGUUUCAGUUCUGCUAAAUUCCUCCAUGCUUUAUCUUUAGCCGACCAAUGUCUUGGUCCUUAACAUUCCCUGACAUUUGGAAUCUCCCUGUUCCAUCUAAGUUUUAACAGUCCCAAGUUCAGAGAAGAGACAACAGGAAGUAAACCACGAGUGUCUGAGAACUGAGACAGGCCAGCAAUCCUGUGCACCUGCACCACACUGUGCCUUGUGGCUGGCAUGCUGAAGUGAUGUCCUUAAGCUGUGAGUCCAGCAUUAAACUCAACAGGAGCUU
rnacentral:lncRNA from 1 species